UCACCUGUUUAUCAAAAACAUGUCUAUUAGAUUUUAAUUUAUAGUCAAAUCUGCUCAAUGAAAAUUUAUUUUAAAUAGCUGCAGAAUUUUAACUGUACAAAGGUAGCAUAAUAAAUAGCUUUUUAAUUUAAAGCUUGAAUGAAAGAUUUAAUGAAAAAAAAACUUUAUUAGUUUAAAAAAUUAAAAUUUUUUUUAGAUAAAAAAAUCUAAUUUUUUUAAAUAAACAAAAAGACCCUAAAAACUUUAUAAAUUAAAACUAAUUUAUUUAAUUGGGGAAAUUAAAAAAUUAAAAUAAUUUUUUUUUUUUAUAACAAAAAUAAAUGAAUAUAACUAUUUUUAUUAAAAAUUAAUUUAAGUUACUUUAGGGAUAACAGUAUAAUUUUUUAUUUUAGAACAAAUAAAUUAAAAAGUUUAUAACCUCGAUGUUGAAUUAAGAUAAAAAUAAAAUGAAACAAUUUUAAUUUAA
rnacentral:rRNA from 1 species